rnacentral:rRNA from 1 species
CCUACGGGUGGCAGCAGUCGAGAAUCAUUCACAAUGGGGGAAACCCUGAUGGUGCGACGCCGCGUGGGGGUAUGAAGGUCUUCGGAUUGUAACUCCCUGUCAUGUGGGAGCAAAUUAAAAAGAUAGUACCACAAGAGGAAGAGACGGCUAACUCUGUGCCAGCAGCCGCGGUAAUAAAGAGGUCUCAAGCGUUGUUCGGAAUCACUGGGCGUAAGGCGUGCUUAGGCUGUGUCGUAGGUCGUGUGGGAAAGGCGCGGGUUAAACCCGCGGACGGCAAUUGAUACUGCGUGACUGGAGUUAUGGAGGGGGAACCGGAAUGCUCGGUGUAGCAGUGAAAUGCGUAGAUAUC